rnacentral:rRNA from 1 species
AUGAACGCUAGCUACAGGCUUAACACAUGCAAGUCGAGGGGCAGCAUCAUCAAAGCUUGCUUUGAUGGAUGGCGACCGGCGCACGGGUGAGUAACACGUAUCCAACCUGCCGACAACACUGGGAUAGCCUUUCGAAAGAAAGAUUAAUACCGGAUGGCAUAAUUAUUCCGCAUGGGAUAAUUAUUAAAGAAUUUCGGUUGUCGAUGGGGAUGCGUUCCAUUAGGCAGUUGGCGGGGUAACGGCCCACCAAACCUACGAUGGAUAGGGGUUCUGAGAGGAAGGUCCCCCACAUUGGAACUGAGACACGGUCCAAACUCCUACGGGAGGCAGCAGUGAGGAAUAUUGGUCAAUGGACGAGAGUCUGAACCAGCCAAGUAGCGUGAAGGAUGACUGCCCUAUGGGUUGUAAACUUCUUUUAUACGGGAAUAAAGUGAGCCACGUGUGGCUUUUUGUAUGUACCGUAUGAAUAAGGAUCGGCUAACUCCGUGCCAGCAGCCGCGGUAAUACGGAGGAUUCGAGCGUUAUCCGGAUUUAUUGGGUUUAAAGGGAGCGUAGGCGGGUUGUUAAGUCAGUUGUGAAAGUUUGCGGCUCAACCGUAAAAUUGCAGUUGAUACUGGCGACCUUGAGUGCAACAGAGGUAGGCGGAAUUCGUGGUGUAGCGGUGAAAUGCUUAGAUAUCACGAAGAACUCCGAUUGCGAAGGCAGCUUACUGGAUUGUAACUGACGCUGAUGCUCGAAAGUGUGGGUAUCAAACAGGAUUAGAUACCCUGGUAGUCCACGCCGUAAACGAUGAUUACUAGGUGUGGGGGGAUUGACCCCUUCCGUGCCGGAGUUAACACAAUAAGUAAUCCACCUGGGGAGUACGGCCGCAAGGCUGAAACUCAAAGGAAUUGACGGGGGCCCGCACAAGCGGAGGAACAUGUGGUUUAAUUCGAUGAUACGCGAGGAACCUUACCCGGGCUUAAAUUGCAACUGACGGAACCGGAAACGGUUCUUUCUUCGGACAGUUGUGAAGGUGCUGCAUGGUUGUCGUCAGCUCGUGCCGUGAGGUGUCGGCUUAAGUGCCAUAACGAGCGCAACCCUUACGGGUAGUUACCAUCAGGUUAUGCUGGGGACUCUACCCGGACUGCCGUCGUAAGAUGUGAGGAAGGUGGGGAUGACGUCAAAUCAGCACGGCCCUUACGUCCGGGGCUACACACGUGUUACAAUGGGGGGUACAGAAGGCAGCUACACGGCGACGUGGUGCUAAUCCCAAAAGCCUCUCUCAGUUCGGAUUGGAGUCUGCAACCCGACUCCAUGAAGCUGGAUUCGCUAGUAAUCGCGCAUCAGCCACGGCGCGGUGAAUACGUUCCCGGGCCUUGUACACACCGCCCGUCAAGCCAUGAAAGCCGGGGGUACCUGAAGUACGUAACCGCGAGGAGCGUCCUAGGGUAAAACUGGUGAUUGGGGCU